AAUGUCACUCAAGAAGAAAUAGAUCAUCUGAAUAAUCAUAUAUUAAUUAUUAAAUUUGUAGAUAAAGACCUGUCUACAGAGAAGAUUCCAGGCUGCACAUGAACCAUGGUGCUAACAUCUGCUUCUGGUGAGGGCCUCAGGAAGCUCACAGUCAUGGCAGAAGGCAAAGGAGAGCCGGCGUGUCACAUGGUGAGAGAAGGAGCAAGAGAAAUGCCGGGCUCUUUUAAAUAACCAGCUCUUGUGUGAACUCACUGAGUGAGAACUCACUCAUUACCACGAGGACAGCACCAAGCCAUUCAUGAGGAAUCCACCUCCAUAACCCAAACACCUGCUACCAGACCUGACCUCCAACAUUGGGGAUCACAUUUCAACAUGAGAUUUGGAGAGGACAAAACAUCCAAACCAUAUCACCAUGGAACUAUCUGGAGUUGAGCUUGUUCUUCAAAGAGAUCUUAAACAGAGACACGGUAGUUAGGAUCCUUUACCCCUAAACCUACCAGUCACUGGGUUAGGCUGUGGGGAGAGUGGAGCAGCUCCCUUUGGCUAGGGUAGUGCUCCAAAAGGGACUCAGCAGGCCACAUUCCCAGUGGCCAAGGGAAAGAGUACCGUGGGCUUGAAGAAGGGAUCUGGUUGGUGCACCAUGCAUUUACUACAUUUAGAUUCCUCUGAAAUCAGAGUUGAGACAAAUGCUUUGCUGCAGAUACUUUAUUUAAGAAGUCAUUGCAGGGAACAAGAGUGAGAGACAGGGAAGUGAAAGAGGAUGAAAGAAACCUAGUGCAAAGAUUCAGUAUGUUGCUGCUUUGGAAAACUAAUGCUCAAUUCUGUGAGAUCUUCUGAAGAGCCUUAGGAAAUAUAUCAUAGAAGUUUCCAGCUGGGAGAGAAGCAUUUAUUGAUUGGCUUCCAUUGGUCAAGGGGGCUACAUGGGCAUUAGACGUCCCUGUGCUUCCAGUUCUCUGAUGUGUGAGUGUUGAGAAUGCCAAGAAAAGGUGCUGUCAAAUUACAUCUGCGUGAAGAUUGUAGAUACCUGCAUGGAAUAGGUUGCCUAAGAGCAGAGUGGAUUUGAAAGUGUCCACAAAAGGUGUCUAGUGCUUCUGAAAAUAUCUGACAGAAUUUAAAACGUAAACUCUUUGUGAUCCACAAAUUCACUUACAGGAAUUUAUAUGGUGGAAAUUUGUGCAUAUAGGUGCAAAUAUCUAUGUGAAUUAGAUAGGCUAUGGGACCAGUUGCCUAGGUUUAAGGCCAGGCUCUGCUGCUAUAAAUAAUAUACCUGUAAAUUAUGUCACCUGUCACAUAGAGUUGCCAACAGCAUUAGACUUAAAAUAUACCACAUGAUCUGAAUAGUGCCUUGCACACAUUAUGGUCUCAAUACAUGUCAGUAUUACUCUUACAAUAAUAUUUAUUAUAGCUACUGUUUAUAGUAACAAAAUACUAGAAAUGGCCUACAUAUCCACCAAUCAAACAGUAGGUAAAUAAAUUAUAGUGUGAUCACAUGUAGGAAAUUAUCAUAUGCAUCAUAUCUUCCAAAGUGAAUAAAGCAAAGCAAAGUGGAGAAACUAUGUCUAGUAUGCUCCCAUUUAUGCAAAAUGAACAGAUAAGUGUAUUUAUGAUAGAGAUUAUUAGUGCUUACUGAUAUCUGGCUCUCCCCUCCCACCUGGGCACACAGAAGAUGACUCUACAGUUAAGUGGACCAUGUGAUUAAGCCCCUGUGCAACCUUCCAGCUCUUUCUUCACCCAAAACUGUAUGUUGAGAUGACAGCCUCACAAAGUGAUGCAGCUUAAGCAUGCAGUUUGAUGCAGAAACAAACCUUUGUUGUAUUCAGCCACUGAGAUUUUGGGUUAAAUUUGCUGCUACAGUAUAACCUAGCCUAUCUUGACUAAUAUAAUAUACUUCUGGGAAGAUGAUACAGAAAAAUUAAAACACCAGUUGCUGCAGAGAGGAGAACCAGAGACUAUCAGGGGGUUGGAGGGAGACUGAUGCUGACCUCUACAUCCUUUCAUGUUACUUGAAUUUUUAAACUACAACUUUUUUUAAAAAAUUAAAUAUAAUUUGGGUCUGACAGGAACCAUCAAUUUUCCUUAAAACAUAAGAAAAGCUGCAACCCUCAUCUCCUUCAAAACAAAAACAAAAGCUAAAACAUCCUUCCCCUACCUGAAAAAGACUAAACCUCAGAAAUCAUUCAGCCUGGUCCUGUUAUUUCCUCCAAGAAUGUUCACUAACUUAAAUAGACAUGCAGAAAAACAACAUUUUAGGAAAGGAAGAAAGUUAAACUGGUGAGGGGUGGAGUGGGAUGUGUAACAGUGGAUGGGGAGAAAGUGACAGGGGCAUUGCACUGGAGGUCUCAAAGCAGUUGAAGAGUUUUUGCAGUGGUGCCCAUGAAAGUAAUCUGGAAAAAUAAUUGCUGGUGAUCAGGGAAUGGGAUACUUGAAGAAAAGAAUUACUAGUUAUGACAGGGUCCAGAAGCUGGCAGCUGAGUUAGGGUAAAAGUAAAAGACAGUAUGAUUCUGAUAUUUUAAUACAAGUUCUAUGAAAUCUGGUUUUGUUUUAUAUCUCAUUGUGCUAAUAACAUUCUGAGUGAUUGCAAUAUAUAUGCCAUAUUUCCUAACAUAGAUGGUCAUGAUGAAAUAAAUCUUUAUCAUUUUACCUGAAAGAGCUUUUGCAAAGGAAUUUCUGAUUUUUCUAUGAAUUUCAUCUGCAAAGGAUGGUAUGACAUAUUGCCAAUCAAUAGUGACCUAGCCGGAUAUUCGCAGGGCAGCUAUGACAAAGGUGGAUGGCAGUUUCACAAUAAGGAUGAAUAAUGCGGAAGAUGAAAGAUAACCUUGACACAUAACUCAGUUAAGAGGGAAAUUGGAAAGUAUUUAAAGAUUCUGAUUCGUACCAAUAGGCCAUUCUAUGGGAUUAUAUCUAAAAUAAUAAAAAGACAUUUAUAUAGAUGAUUUCCUUGAGCCACAGACAAAUUUUCUUGAUGACUGGAGAACUAUGGCAUUUUGGAAAAUAGAUGAAGGGUUUUAUUAACAAGAAAAAAUACAACCAUUCUCAAUAACACUAGGAAAUGUUGUGGGAGAAAUUAAUCAAUCAAAGCAGUCAUUUGGCACCUACUGUAUGCCUCGACAAUGGGAUGGAUGCUAUUUGGGGGCUACAUGAUAUUUGUUUUGUUUUGUUUUAAGACGGAGUCUUGCUCUGUCGCCCAGGCUGGAGUCAACUGGUGAAAUCUUGGUUCACUGUAACCUCCGCCUCCUGGGUUCAAGCAAUUCUCCUGCCUCAGCCUCCCGAGUAGCUGGGACUACAGAUGUAUGCCACCAUGCCCGGCUAAUUUUUGUAUUUUUAGUACAGAUGGGGUUUCACCAUGUUGGCCAGGCUGGUCUCGAACCCUUGACUUCAAGUGAUCUGCCUGCCUCGGCCUCCCAAAGUGCUGGGAUUAUAGGCGUGAGCCACCGCGCCUGGCGGAGAGGCUACAUGAUAUUUGAUCUUAAGGUACUUUUUGUUCAUUUGGCCAGGUGUGGAAUGAGAAAAUAUUCCUCAAAAGAAUGAUGAAAAUAAGAUGGUAAUCAGUGAUGAAUUGCAAGGUAAAGAAUAAAAGUAGUAUAGAAAUUCGGAGAAAGGUGAGCCCAGGAAAGUUGAAAUACAUGGUGAAGGCUCAGUGGAAGUCAUUGUCAGCUGGGUUUGGAAUGAGAAGACCUGGAAUAAAAUCUGUUGCUGCCAUCUACAGCCUUUGUGACCUUGAAUAAGUUUAUUUAAAUUGCCUUCAUUUCCUAAUUUGUAAAGUAAGAAUGAUAAUAGCUUCCUUGCAGUGUUGUGAAGAGCAUGCCAGUCCUUGUCCUGUUUGCGAUGACAGAUGCAUUUCUUGCAUUUUCUAUGUCCCAGUGGUAUGGGGGUGGUGAGCAGCUGUGUUUCCCAGGUGCUAGGGACUGAAUUGUGCCCCCUCCAAAUUCACAUGUUGAAACCCUACUCUCCAGUGUGAUUGUUUCUAGAGAUGGGGUCUUCAGGAGAUAAUUAAGGUUAAAUCAGGUCAUAAGCGUAGGGCCGUAGCCUUAUAAGAUGAGGAAGAGAAAGAGAUGUCUCUCUCUCUCUCUCUCUCUCCAACAUGUGAGGACACAGCAAGAAGGUGGCCAUCUACAAGCCAGGAAGAAACCUACCUUUGCCAGAAACCUACCAUACUGACCUCUUGAUUUUGAACUUCCCAGUCUCCAGAACUGUGAGAAAUAAAUGCCUAUUUUUUAAGCCACCCAGUCUGUGAUAUUUUGUUAUUGCAGCAUGAACUGGCUGAGACACCAGGUUCCUGUGUCAUGCCAAUGGCAAGUACAGAGAAGACUGGAAAGUGAGAAGAAGAGAAAAGCCAGAGUAUUUAUUUUCUUCUCUUUCCCUGCAGCAUCUUCAGGAACAGUUGUGCCUCUUUUAUGACCUCAGUUCCCUCGUCUCUAGGCUGACUGUGGUUCUGGCCCUGAAUUCCAGUAACACCACCCGCUAUUUUUGUCCUUCCAGCUUAGGGGAGCCAGAAACAUCCUGCUGUUGCUAAUGUCUACGUUGUUUACAGUUUCACUUUCAGCCUUUCCAUCUCCUAUGUUACCAAUUUCCAGUAUUAAAUUCCCUCUAUUGUAAAUAAGUAAAUAUAUUUUCUGUUUUCUAGUUGAAUUUUCACUAAGACAGAGUAAAUUUUAAAAUGUAGUAUUGUGAAGCUAUAAUGUGCCAUAUAAAUAACAACUAUCCAUACACUCAGUGGUCA
rnacentral:lncRNA from 10 species